CUUUACCAUUGUCCUUCAGUGUUGUUUCAGAAAAGAAUUAUAGUGAUGAGGAGCUCUACUUUUGGCUGGUGCUGAGUAUUGUGUAGAUCCAUGUAUAAACCAGACCUCAGUUUUCUCUUCCUCAGUAAGCUUUAUAUGAAGGCAUAUGGUUGGGCCAAGAUAGAGAAGGUAAUCUAGAUGGAGCAGAGCCAUGGAAAUUUGGGUCACUUUCUCUUGAAACUCAGUAGUGCCUUCAAAGCCUGCUCAAGAUCAAUCUUACAUAUACCACUUCCUCUUGAUAAUAAAGGAUUGCUGUGCACACUCCACCUUUAUGUCUUGGUGGGUAAUAGUUCAUGAUGGGUAGCUCAGAUUAGUUUGUGAUCCAUGAUUAAAUGUCCAAUCUCUACUAAUUUAUCUUGUCUCAUUGUUCCAUAUAUUAGGACACCAAUAAAAACUUAAAUAAUUUAAUAGAUGUACUAUGAAAUUGAAUAGGUGUUUAUAGGUGUCCUAUACAUAGGACAAUGGCACAUAAUGACAUAAUGUGUAAUAACAAGCCAAAUACAUUUCUUAGAGUAGUUGUCUGCAGAGGUUAGCAGGAUUUCACCACAAGAUCUCAAGGAUCUGUGUUGUGAUUCACCUGUAGAGACCCAAACAGAAUCCCUUUCUGAUCUGGACACCUGGAAUCAUCAGGUCUUCUGGAUCAUGGCUUGGUGGUGACAUGUGGCCUAAGUGCCAAGGUAGUUUGCACAACAGGCUGUACCUGUUAUGGAGAUUCUCUUGAUUUUGGUGCCAUUCAAAACUAGCAGCAUUUUGAGUCACCUAGUAAAUGAGCUGGAAUAAUACACUUAAAAAAGUAAUGUGCUUCCUCCAAAAUCUAAACAAGC
rnacentral:lncRNA from 1 species